UGAUGCACACAUGGAGGAGGUCGUACAGAGGCUUCUGAGCCUGUGACCUCAGAGCCUCCUGGAUGCCAUCCACAAUAUGGUCGUGGAGUUUCUUCGGGAUCUGCAGCUAUACGACUGACUGGGCUCGUCGUCCCAACCAUUACAUCAGAUAAUUAUAUUGCUAAACCCAUAUACUUAUUUUAAAUUUUCAUAUUUAGAAGCUGCAUAUAUUUAGGUUUGAGUCUGAGAAGGGGAUGUAGGAGCUAAAAAUUCAAUCUAACUAUCCAAUCGCUGGGCUAGGGGUAUCUAUAGUUUC
rnacentral:lncRNA from 1 species